rnacentral:rRNA from 1 species
UACGUAGGGGGCAAGCGUUGUCCGGAUUCAUUGGGCGUAAAGAGCGUGUAGGCGGCCAGGUAGGUCGGUUGUGAAAACUGGAGGCUCAACCUUCAGAGGUCGACCGAAACCCCCUGGCUAGAGUCCGGGAGAGGAGAGUGGAAUUCCUGGUGUAGCGGUGAAAUGCGCAGAUAUCAGGAAGAACACCCGUGGCGAAAGCGGCUCUCUGGAACGGUACUGACGCUGAGACGCGAAAGCGUGGGGAGCGAACAGG